GUUAACUUAAAAGAAUUAUCAAAAGAUGAUAACAAGGCCAAGAUUCUCAAAUAUGAAACACCAAUCUUUGUUGCACUUGGAUUUGGUCUUUUGUUUGUGAUAUUGAUGCCAAUUAUUGGUUUUUGUUUUUGUUGCUGUCGAUGUUGCUGUAACAAAUGUGGGGGUGCAAUGUUUCAAUCAGAGAAAGAAUCAAAAAAAUAUGCAAAGUGCACUAUUAUGUCUUUGUUAUUACUUGUUAUGACAAUAUUAAUGCUAUGUGGUAUACUUUUCAUGUUUGUAACAAAUAACAGAAUCAAUGAAUCAGCAAAAAA
rnacentral:lncRNA from 1 species